rnacentral:lncRNA from 13 species
GGCCCACCCGGCUCCGUGGGAAUACCAGGUCCAGUUGGCCCCCCAGGGCCCCCAGGUUUGACGGUAAGUUUCUUUAACCUGUUGCUCAUAAAGCCUUAAAUGGGACAGUUACUACUUGGUUUCGUGUUCUCAGAGGCAGGUCAGUGAAUUGCAGAGAUCAUGGUAGUCAGCACUUGGUAUGAAGACAGCAGCAACCAUGCAUUCAGUUCAGCCUUGGAGCUGUUACUGUGCACGUGUAAAUAAGAUACUUUUGAAACAACCUGUUCCCCAACACCUUUUUGCUUUAAGUGGUGCUGAAUCGUUGUGCAGGCUUCUCACUUGUGUGAAACAUGGGGUAAGAUUUAGCUUAUUUAGACUAGGACGUUUAAUGCCUGACUGUUUAAUUUCAUUUUACUCUCUCACUUAAGGGAAGAACUAGUUUCUUACAUAUUUGUGAAGUAAAAUAGCAUGAGUUUUCAAAGGAAGGUGCCUUGUCAGCAUGGAGAUAAUUCACAGGAAUUAAAGCUGCAACAUUGUUGUGUGGGUUUUUCUCUACAGGGGUUUGUAAAGUGCUUUUAUGUGACUUGUUUUUUGGUUUCUUUUUUCAAUAGGGACCUCCUGGUCCACCAGGGCUGCCAGGACCCAAGGUAUUGUCUUUCUCAUAUUGAUGGUGGUGGUGGACUCUUUUCUUUCUCUUUCUGUUUAUUUAUGACUUCCAAGGGCUGAUGAGUUAUACUUUUUGCAGGGUAAUAUGGGUUUGAAUUUCCAAGGACCCAAAGGUGAAAAAGGUGAACAAGGUCUUCAGGGACCUCCAGGGCCACCAGGACAAAUUGGAGAACAGAAAAGACCAAAUGACAUUGAGUUUCAGAAAGGAGAUCAGGGUAUUCCAGGUGAUCCAGGCCCACCAGGACUUCCUGGGCCACCAGGCCCUCCUGGUCUUCCCGGUGGCAUAAAAGGUGAAAAAGGUGAGCAAGGAGAACCAGGCAAAAGAGUAAGUAGUCUGUUUAACCAAACACUUAUCUUUCCAUUCAGUGUUAUUGUUGACAAUUAAGCAAAUGUUGAAUUCAGUUGGGGCCAUCAGCCUCUGGGUAAGAGACUGCUUUUUUUUCUCCUUGUAACCUGGCAAACUCGUAGAUGAUGCACAGGGGUCAUGACUGUGCUUCUAGCUAUGGCUCUCUCAGUGGUUUCUCAUAGAAUUAUCUACAUGUAAAUCUUUGUUUGGGGGGCAGGAGAAAAUAGUUUGGAUUAUGUUAUCAGGUUAACAUGUGAAAACCUUCAAAGUUUAUGGACUGCUUGUCUGAAGCAGCAGCUUUCUGUUUCCUUUUAGAGAGGGUCUUCAUUCAGUUUGCUAUGUACUGUGUUGCCAAGCAGCAUGAGAUCUGUGUAUAUAAUAAUUGGUGUAUAUAACCUGGUAUAUGUAAAUUCAUUCUCAGUGGGUUUGCUGAGGUGAGUCACAGAACCAAGUCUCUGAACACUGUUAAAACUGAAAGUCCAUUUGUCACUUCCCAAGAGACUGCCUUUAUGUGCUAUCUGGGGAGGGCACAAGUUGGGAUAGCUUUAUCGAGGGAUAGCAGGAGUCUCUGUUCCUGACCAGACUCAAAUCAAUCCUGGAAUUUAAACAUACUUGGAUAUCACAGCUCAGAAAAGCUGAGAAAGAUCAUAGAAGUGCUAAGAAAUAGGAUAAAAAUAACAUGGGCUGGACCUGCAAAGAAAAGAGAAGCUGUAACCAGCUCAAAACAUUCUGUAUCUUCACUUCCACAGCUUCUGAAUGCAUAGUUUCAUCAACAAAAUGGACCCCUUUGAAAAUCAAGACACAAGUCCUGCUCAGGUUAAUUGGACAAUAUAUAAACACUGUUUAGAAACAUGCUGGUGAUAGGUUUUCCAAUUUCCAUAGGAAAUAAAUACAGUGGAAACAAAUGUUUGGUACUCAAGAUAAAAUCCUUCUUAGUUGCUGAGAUUUAUAGAAGGGCUUUGAUUUGUCUCUUUUAAAGAACAUAACAAGCAAAUUUACCAAGCCAAAAGUCUCAUUAUAUUUUGAGUGGGUUUUGAAUUGUUGCUUCUCUCUACAAAAGUAAAUGGGAACCACAUAAAUUUGCAAAGAUCUAAAAGGAGAAAAGUCCUGAAGGGAUAUGUCAGAUGCCUUUUGCCAAAAGUUUGUUUACUAAUAUUUUUGUUUGGUUUUAUUACUCUGAAUCUGGGCAUGUUGCAUACUUGGAAGUGCAGUUUAGCUAUUAAGUUACUUUAAAGUUGCAUUUUAGUGCUCCAUAGGAUUCUGUGCAGCUCAAAGCCAUUUCAGAUAUACUCUUUUAAAAUGUCAGUGUAUGUAUUCAAACAGAUAGCUCUGCAUGUUCACAGGAAAUCUUAAAACCUCAGUUUUGAGAGUUAGAACUUAUCACUAGUAAAUACAAACUUCACAAAUCACAUUAUACUCUGAUUCACUAAAUCUGUGAGGUCUUAUUAUCAACUUCUCAGUGACUGAGAGCUGAUCUUGGCACUGAGGAAGAUUCACUAGGUGAAGCUCAAUCACCUGCUCUAGUUCUGUUCCAGCAGGCACCCCCAGACACAGCUUCUGUAACUCUGACAAUAAAGUGCCAUUUGUCUGCCCAGUGAAUGGUCAAAGUGGAACAAAGUGGAGCUUGCCCUGCUUUCAUUGCAGCAACGACAAAUCUGUUCAGCAAUAAUACGUUUUUUAGAAGUGACUUCUUUGAGCAGAACUUCAUCUUGUAUUUUCAUUGAUACUAAGGAGAAAAUUUUGUUGAUUUAAAGGAAAGUUAAAAUUCAAACAUGAAGUUUUAUUUAGUUUCACUAGUCAUACUGAUUUCCUAAUUAAAUAGAGUGUUCUAGUAUUUAGGGAGUUAGGAUCUGUUUUCCAAAUAAAGGAUUUCUCUAAUGUAAAAAUAGGAGUAGUAAACAUAAUGAAUCAGCAGUAGUUAACUGGAGAUCAUCUUGUGCUGUAUUCACCCAGCAUUUCUCUGAGACUUGUCAUGGUUUUGUGCUCAGGUUUUCAAAAUGAUAACUUCAGUUUAGGUAAUUCUAUUGGUUAUGGUUGAUGUCUUUGAUGUGUUUGUCCCAAGGACUGCAUUCUAGAUACAGUUGGGCCUAUUGAAAAAUGGGAAACAAGUAACAUAAUUUCCAUAAGAAUUCUUUACCACUGAAGCAUUUUAUUUCAAUGCAUAUUUGUCUUUGAAGGGAAAGCCUGGCAAAGAUGGAGAACCUGGUCAACCUGGUAGGGAUGUGAGUAAUUCAUACAUUUUUAGUCUAAGCAAGCUCUUUAUAAACUUUUCUUCUGAUAUGGAAAAGAUGAGAGUGUGAUUAUAUCUCCCUUUUCUUGAAGGGUUUACCUGGUGGGCCUGGAAUAAAUGGUGCUCCAGGAAGGGAUGGUGAAAAGGUAUGCCAGGAUUUUUGUCAUUAUUGCUGUAAUAGAUUGAAAAUUUGCCAUUACUGAGUUCAGUUCUGCCUGAGUAGUAAUUGCUUUGCCUCUGCUAUUACAGUAUUGAGGAAUAUUUGCAAUAACUUGUUUAUGUACUGCUGCAUAGUAUCAAAAAUGCUCUUAAUUUCAUUGUUAGGGUGAAAAAGGUGACAUGGGUCCCCCUGGUCCUCCUGGAAUUGUAAGUUGCCGAUCCUUUAUUUUUUUCUGCAUUUGGUUUAUGGUGUUGUUUCAUUGUAGAUCUUGGCUGACUGAGUGUCCUAUCUCCAGGUACAACACCAACAGCACCAGUAAAAUUUUUAUAUAUACACUGACAGAAACAAUGGUUUCCUUCUUUCAAAAUCAGUUCUGUGCUCUGGGAUUUGCUAGGUCACAAACACAGGCUAGACUAUAACCUCAGACUAGCAGGACUGCGUCAGCCUCACUGAAGCCUGUUGUAACUGUGUUGGCUUGGCAGGAAAACAGCUUCCUAUUGGGGAGUGCUCUUUACUGGAAUUUUCCCUGGUAAUUCAGUGGAGUGGGGAAAGCAUCCUGUCAUUGGCAUAAGGUUCAAAGUAUGUUGAACUUCUCCUCCCUCACAUGUCUUUAUGGUUCCAAUGACUCUU